UGACCGAGGUUGAAGACCAAGCCUAGAUAAAGCUCCAAGCUUGUGCUCUGUUUGGAUUUAUCCUUGAUGAGUUAAUUUUGGUUGAACCUUUGGGUAGUAUAUGUUUUGCUGGAUUGUGCACCAUAUGGUUUUCAUCUCUUCCAAACGAUUUAUAUUUUGCUCAGUUUUCAAUGUUAUGGAUCUUAUUAAUGUUCUAGUUUUGAAAAAAGGUUUAAAUCCAGCUUUUCUUGGUGCCAGUUUAAUUUCCACCUCUACAAAUAUUGAACCAAUGUGAUAAUUUAAAGCGUGCUUGGAUUCAUUUAACAUAUACAUGAGAUAGAACUAAAUAUGAUAAAGGAAAGCUAAAGUCAGUUCUGAUUCUUGGAAAAUAAAGUUGCUGGUUUUGUAAAAAUUGUGAACGAUAUAAAGUCUUUG
rnacentral:lncRNA from 1 species